rnacentral:tRNA from 1 species
UGGGAGAUAGUCCAGUGGCAGGACGACGGGUUCUGGCCCCGUUAACCGAGGUUCGAAUCCUCGUCUCCCAG